CGUGUCGUGAGAUGUUGGGUUAAGUCCCGCAACGAGCGCAACCCUUAUUACUAGUUGCCAGCAUUCAGUUGGGCACUCUAGUGAGACUGCCGGUGACAAACCGGAGGAAGGUGGGGAUGACGUCAAAUCAUCAUGCCCCUUAUGACCUGGGCUACACACGUGCUACAAUGGCGUAUACAACGAGUUGCCAACCCGCGAGGGUGAGCUAAUCUCUUAAAGUACGUCUCAGUUCGGAUUGUAGGCUGCAACUCGCCUACAUGAAGUCGGAAUCGCUAGUAAUCGCGGAUCAGCACGCCGCGGUGAAUACGUUCCCGGGUCUUGUACACACCGCCCGUCACACCAUGAGAGUUUGUAACACCCAAAGCCGGUGGGGUAACCUUCGGGAGCCAGCCGUCUAAGGUGGGACAGAUGAUUAGGGU
rnacentral:rRNA from 1 species